CAGUCGCCGCGGGAAUACGUAGGUGGCAAGCGUUGUCCGGAAUUAUUGGGCGUAAAGCGCGCGCAGGCGGAUAGGUCAGUCUGUCUUAAAAGUUCGGGGCUUAACCCCGUGAUGGGAUGGAAACUGCCAAUCUAGAGUAUCGGAGAGGAAAGUGGAAUUCCUAGUGUAGCGGUGAAAUGCGUAGAUAUUAGGAAGAACACCAGUGGCGAAGGCGACUUUCUGGACGAAAACUGACGCUGAGGCGCGAAAGCCAGGGGAGCGAACGGGAUUAGAUACCCCGGUAGUCCCUGUCUCUUAUACC
rnacentral:rRNA from 1 species